rnacentral:misc_RNA from 1 species
UGUGGGAGCGAGCCUGCUCGCGAUGAGGCCAGCACAUCCAACAUUACCGUCUCAGGCAGACCGCCAUCGCGAGCAGGCUCGCUCCCACA